ACGCCGAACUAAAAGAUGUCACUGGCAGUGACGAGGACGAGCUGAGUGACGAUGACAAUGACUGGCCUGACUGCGAGAUGUCAGCUCCUCACGGGCCAAACGGUGCAAGGUGAUGCUUCAGACUUUCAACAAGGAGACGUAUGAAUACAGGAGUUGUCUCCCUUUGAAUGAUCCCUACCUGCUCCGGACAGACCCAUGGCUGGCAGAGCACAAACUCAUCACACAGUUGCUGUUGAAAGUGGGAAAGCCUGACCCUAAAGAUGAUGUGGAUUCUUAUGUAAAUGAAUUUGUCAGUUACAUAUUCUCUGGGUCAAGUUGUUCUGUUUGCCACCUACUAUCCCCGCCUGUUGAAGCUGUGUUUGAUAAAAGGAAUCUCAUAGGGCAGCAUUUGUGAAGUCAAGGGACAAUCCUGGCAGGGCGUCACCUGUGAAGUCCAGUUAUGAAUCUGACAGGUCUACACCUGUGAAGUCCAGUUAUGAAUCUGACAGGUCUACACCUGUGAAGUCCAGUGAUGAAUCUGACAGGUCUACACCUGUGAAGGCAAGUGAUGAAUCUGACAGGUCUACACCUGUGAAGUCAAGUGAUGGAUCUGACAGGUCUACACCUGUGAAGGCAAGUGAUGGAUCUGACAGGUCGACACCUGUGAAGGCAAGUGAUGAAUCUGACAGGUCUACAUCUGUUUAGUCCAGUGAUGAAUCAGGUCAUGUGAAGGUGUUUUUAGCCAGGAACUGGUAUGCUGAGCAGACUGGCGGACAACCAGGCCACUGGAGUGUUGACUUGAAAAGCAGUUGGUUUGACUCUGUUAGGACAGACAGAGAUCAGUGGACCGCCGUCCACCUGAUGGUCAACUCUCCGAUCACUGUCCUGUCUGGGAAAGGAGGGUGUGGCAAGACGUCCGUCGUCACCAAGCUUCCCAGUCAUGCCUGUGUCCGAAGCGGCUUGAGAUCAAGGUACAGACAAUUGUUGAUGUGGAAAUUAAGCUUGACAAUGUUGAAAGUUGAAGAUGUAGGCUGUCCCUAGAUUCAAGUACUGCAGUUGUAAACGUCAUAGACCCCCUUAAUUUUGAACAAUGUAGAUGGAUGUAAU